CACCGUUUCGUUCUGUAUUUCUCUAGAUCGCCGCUGUUAUGCCCAGAAUUCGUGAUCCCCAAAGACCACCAGGGAGCCGAGUCCGAUGCAAAAGCAAAAGAGCCUUUAUUCGAGCUAGCUCGAGCUCAAUCCCCUACCUGCACCGACACAGCGGUGAGAUACCAGGGAGAGAGAGCGAGUUUCAAAAGCACAAAGGUUUUAUAGGGGUCUAGGGGCAGUUGGUGAGGUAACGGCUGUGGGCUCAGCCGAUUGGCUGGGGAAGGGUUGUGGCCUCGGCUGAUUGGCUGGGGAAGGGUCGGCGUCCUGUUACGCAGGUCGCUGGGUGUGUUUUGAUCAGGAAGUUUGAACGGGUGAGCGGGAGGUUACUCAAGGGGAGGAGGCGCGGUCUGAGGUUUCUUCGUUUUCCCGGAAAAGGGGUCAUGUCUGGGACAUAGUCACUCAAGGUGGAGGACACAGAGCAAGAUGGAGUCGGCCGGCGUAGGCCCACCCUUUCAGCCGCUCUUGUCCAAAGUCCUGGAGCGCUGAGGAAGAGAACAGAAGCCUGAGAGGGGAAGUUACUUUUGUUCUUCCAGUAUCAAUAGAUCAACUAGAUGGAAACACUGAUGCUGAGAAGCUAGGAUUCAACUCCUAGCUUCAUUCUCAGGCAUCAUUCUCUGGAGCUCCUAUCCUUGAACCUGCCUUUGGCAUUGAUGUUCUCGCUUCUCACGCCAGCGCCCUUCCUGCUCCAGGAUGAUUUAUCCUGGAGUGGAGGUCACUUGAGGUGUGCCUGGUACCGGCCACAAUGUGAAAAUAACACAGCACAAGCUCCGUUGAGCUCCUGGCACAGACCAGCCACUAUUCUAGGAACUCUGGAGGCAAACAUAAGACAGAUAUUCUCCACGUUUAGAAGACAGUCAGGUAAGCGAAUUAUUACACCACAGUACAAAUGCCACAUAUACAACCUGUUAGAGCACUCCAGUGUAGGGGCAAAAAUUGGGUCACGUGGACAGUUACAGGUGUCAUUAUUAUCUUUUACCGUCGUUGAGAAGGGUGACAAGGACCCCGAGCUAUAUCCUACCUGGCGUGAAACCCCUGGUUCCUCACAUGACCUCGGCCGUGCGGUCUGAACUCUCUGUGCCUCAGUUUCUUCAUUUAUAACAUGAGGGUAAGAGCCCGGACCAUCUCAUAAUGUUGUGAGCAUUAAAUAACUUUUAAAAUAGUCGUAGAGUACUUAGAGCCGCGCCUGGAAUGCACUGAUGGCUCAGUUAAAGUUAGCUGUUUUAGAGGGGGCGGUGUUUAUUCGAUUCUUCCCCACAGCAAGACCUUAACUUCUCUUCAAAGCCCUUCCUGCCACCAUCCUGCACACACCUACAUCUUGUACUUUUGCUGUUCUUGGGCUCUGGCUUUCCUCGGGCCGCUUGAGGAGAAGGGAGCUUAUUAAAAAACGCAUGAAGUCUGAUACUGGUCCUCGGAAGCUAUCUGAUGACCUCAGGGAGGGUGGGGCAGCCGCUUCCCUUUUCACUCUCCUGUGGGCCCCAGGAAUUCCACUCUGUGACAUUUCUGCCUUUCUCUGCAUGCCUCUGUAUUUCUCUUAUUCACUGGCUACUCCACCCUUUAUCUUCUGGAGAGAACCCAACCGACUGGCCCAGAGGUUAGCCUUGCCCAACCAGACAGACUUUAGAUGUUCUAUAGACCUCGUUAUAUAGAUCAAUAGCCAGCCCACGACUGGGCCCGUCAGGGUGAAAUGCUCAACCUGGUCCAAUCAAGGGCUCCCCUUGUGCAGGGACCACUCUGCUUUGUUGACUUGGGGAGCUUGGCUGGAUGGUGGGAACUGGGAUGCUAUAUGGGAUGGCAAGAGUCAUAAGACAGCAUACUCUCAGUAGUGAGGCACAGGCUUUGCUCCCGGGGGACCAACAUCUCACACUGUGGAGCGGAGUCCUAACCCCGGUUCUCCUGCCCUUCUACCAUACCUGGAGAGGAAGGUCCUCUUUUAUAACAUGAGACCCCAGCUGCCCCUCCGGAGACCCUCUGUCCAGGGCCCACCCUCUACCCCCUUCCUGAUGCUCCCGAUGAAACUCUUAAAGCCUGCCCACCAUUCUGCCCUCACCUGAUCCAUGCCAGAUCCAAAACUUCCAGCAAUCUCCCUCUUUAACCAUCAGAGACGUCCCUGUGCUUCUUACGGACUGUGCUUUUGGAAGAUUUUUUCACAGCAAAGCUGUGAUGCUUUUAGUACAUGAUUUUUCCUUUGCACUGACAUUUCUUUUUUUUUUUUUUAAGAUUUUUAUUUAUUUUUUGAGAGAGACACAGAACACUAGCAGGGGAGGUGCAGAGAGAGGGAGACACAGAAUCCGAAGGAGGCUCCAGGCUCUGAGCCAUCAGCACAGAGCCCGACGCGGGGCUUGAACUCACGCACCGUGAGAUCAUGACCUGAGCUGAAGUCGGACGCUUAACCGACUGAGCCACCCAGGCACCCUGUGCACUGACAUUUCUCAUACUUGAAAGAUUUUACAGAUCAUUUGGGUCAUCCGUGCAAAAUAUAGGCUCCUUCUCCCACCCGUAAUUUCCAAAUUGAGCUCUCCGUGAAAGACACUUAGGGUCUGGACACAUGGCCCCAAAUCUCAUUCCAUAAAAUAAUUUAUUUCAUAAUUUUCUCUUUCCAUAACUCGUAGGCAUUUCAGGUGUGUUUGAGGUGGGAGUGGGUAAGAAGGGCUGGGUGAGGGAACAGGUUUGGGGCCACCACUGGACCACUGGCCACCCAGAGUGUCAUCCAGGCACCAGUUCUGCUCUGCAAACUAUUAGUAGCCUGGGUAAGAGAAGUACGGAGUAAACACCGUCCCCACUUCCAGCAACCUUCCAGUCAGUAAGUGAACAUAAAUUGCGACAGGGAACGAGGGAGUGUUCUGGAAGUGUGCAUCGGUCAGAAGCUCGGGGAAGGCUUCCCCAGAAAGGCCACAUCUGAGCCUGGACCUGAACAAUGAGCGUGUUACCAGGGCUGCGGGUGGUGGGGCGGGGUGAGCACCUCCCGGUGGAAAGCUCCAGUGGGGUCCGGCCCAGAGUGUGAGGCCAGCAGGUGUAAGACAGGCAGGAGGGGCAGGAGAGUUCAGAUGACUGGUUGCUGUCUGUGAUGGCGACAUUGUGGAGGGUUCUACAGAGGUAGCGGUGAGGGAGGACAGCUCUCUCCCAAGCCGUGCUGAUCAGAAUGCAGUGAACAGACUUCUGGGGUGACUGGGGAAUCAGGAAUUAAAAAAAACAACAGGACACAUGCACACACAUGCGCGCGCACGCACACACACACACACACACACACAGGAAACAAACCACCCCCAAACGAAACAGGUAACUCUGACAAAGUUAGGGAACUUUGUACUUUAGAAACCAAUAGCAAAGAGAAUUCAAACAACAAAUUCUGCUUUAGGGCUGUCUAUACGUAAUAGAAACCAGCGUAUCGUAUUAUAACAACAUUUAUAGAGCUACUUAAAAAAUAAAAAAUUCAAGGCACAUUUACUGAGUUUGGGA
rnacentral:lncRNA from 1 species